rnacentral:rRNA from 1 species
AUGUCUUGGUGGAAACUAUGCGUACCAAAAAAUCAAGGAGGGAUGGGAUUUCGUGAUAUUCACAGUUUAAACUUGGUGUUACUAGCCAAACAGGCAUGGUGUCUCCUGGAUAAUCCUGAUUCGUUGUGUGCUUCUAUCCUAAGGGCAAAAUACUACCCCGAUGGUGAUCUGUUAAAUGCAAAGCUCAUGAAAGGCUCCUCCUUUACAUGGCAAAGUAUCAUGGCAGGCACAUAUACUCUGAAUAGUGGAUACAUUUGGCGAUGGGAAAUUGACAAAAUAUUAAGAUUUGGGAAGAUGCUUGGAUCCCAAAUUGUGCCAGUAGGAAAAUUAUAA